GAGUUUGAUCCUGGCUCAGAACGAACGCUGGCGGCGUGCCUAACACAUGCAAGUCGAACGUGAUCCAGAGCUUGCUCUGGUGAAAGUGGCGCACGGGUGAGUAACGCGUGGAUAACCUACCCUGGUAUCCGGGAUAACACUCCGAAAGGGGUGCUAAUACCGGAUAAGCCCACGGGCUCUUUGGAGCUUGCGGGAAAAGGUGGCCUCUAUUUAUAAGCUACUGUAUCAGGAUGGGUCCGCGUACCAUUAACUAGUUGGCGGUGUAACGGACCACCAAGGCGACGAUGGUUAGCUGGUCUGAGAGGAUGAUCAGCCACACUGGAACUGAGACACGGUCCAGACUCCUACGGGAGGCAGCAGUGGGGAAUUUUGCGCAAUGGGGGAAACCCUGACGCAGCAACGCCGCGUGAGUGAUGAAGGCCUUUGGGUCGUAAAGCUCUGUCAGAGGGGAAGAAAUGAUAUAGUGCUAAUACCACUUUAUCUUGACGGUACCCUCAAAGGAAGCACCGGCUAACUCCGUGCCAGCAGCCGCGGUAAUAC
rnacentral:rRNA from 1 species